ACGGGUGAGUAACACGUGGGAACGUACCUUUUGGUUCGGAAUAACGCAGGGAAACUUGUGCUAAUACCGAAUGUGCCCUUCGGGGGAAAGAUUUAUCGCCAUUAGAGCGGCCCGCGUUAGAUUAGCUAGUUGGUGAGGUAAAGGCUCACCAAGGCUACGAUCUAUAGCUGGUCUGAGAGGAUGAUCAGCCACACUGGGACUGAGACACGGCCCAGACUCCUACGGGAGGCAGCAGUGGGGAAUCUUGCGCAAUGGGCGAAGGCCUGACGCAGCCAUGCCGCGUGAAUGAUGAAGGUCUUAGGAUUGUAAAAUUCUUUCAGUAGGGACGAUAAUGACGGUACCUACAGAAGAAGCCCCGGCUAACUUCGUGCCAGCAGCCGCGGUAAUACGAAGGGGGCUAGCGUUGCUUGGAAUUACUGGGCGUAAAGGGAGCGUAGGCGGGUUAUCAAGUUGGGGGUGAAAGCCCGGGGCUCAACCUCGGAAUUGCCUUCAAAACUGGUAGCCUAGAGUAUGAUAGAGGUAUGUGGAACUCCGAGUGUAGAGGUGAAAUUCGUAGA
rnacentral:rRNA from 1 species